rnacentral:rRNA from 1 species
AGGACGAACGCUGGCGGCGUGCUUAACACAUGCAAGUCGAGCGGAAAGGCCAUUUCGGUGGUACUCGAGCGGCGAACGGGUGAGUAACACGUGAGUAAUCUGCCCCUGGCUUUGGGAUAGCCACCGGAAACGGUGAUUAAUACCGGAUACGACCCGCCCUCGCAUGGGGGGUGUGUGGAAAGUUUUUCGGCCAGGGAUGUGCUCGCGGCCUAUCAGCUUGAUGGUGGGGUAAUGGCUCACCAUGGCUUCGACGGGUAGCCGGCCUGAGAGGGUGACCGGUCACGACGUGGGACUGAGACACGGCCCAGACUCCUACGGGAGGCAGCAGGUGGGGGAAUAUUGGACAAGUGGGCGGAAGCCUGAUCCAGCAACGCCGCGUGAGGGAUGACGGUCCGUUCGGGUACGUAAACCUUCGUU